CACGUAGUUAGCCGGGGCUUCUUGGUCAGGUACUGUCAUUUUCUUCCCUGCUGAUAGAGCUUUACAUGCCGAAAUACUUCUUCACUCACGCGGCGUCGCUGCAUCAGGGUUUCCCCCAUUGUGCAAUAUCCCCCACUGCUGCCUCCCGUAGGAGUUUGGGCCGUGUCUCAGUCCCAAUGUGGCCGUCCGCCCUCUCAGGCCGGCUACUGAUCGUCGCUUUGGUAGGCCGUUACCCUGCCAACUGGCUAAUCAGACGCGGGUCCAUCAUAUACCACCGGAGUUUUCACACCGGGGCAUGCGCCCCUGUGCGCUUAUGCGGUAUUAGCACCUAUUUCUAAGUGUUAUCCCCCUGUAUAUGGCAGGUUACCCACGCGUUACUCACCCGUCCGCCACUAGGGCGUGAAAAGUUUGAAGUCUAGUAAACUAUCCCUCUCGCACAUCACGCCCCGUUCGACUUGCAUGUGUUAAGCACGCCGCCAGCGUUCACUCCUGAGCCAGGACUCAAA
rnacentral:rRNA from 1 species